AUUACCCCAGAUGGAUAGCAGUAGACGAAUAGAGUGGUAAGUGAACUACUAAAAGCGUCUGAUUAGGCAUCUCGGUCCGCUAAAUGCAACAUUAAUUAGAGUAUGAAUUGAACAUCGAACGAGUACCCAUAUAGUACAGAAUGUCAUUUAGUAUUUUAACCAGUAAAACCUUAAUUGCAUUAUUCUGUUCUCAAAAGUAAUGUAAAAUAAUAAACUUAAAAACCGUACAAUUA